AUUCAAUAAAUAAAUAUUCUACAAAUGCAUCCAUUUUAAUUUUUAAUAUGGUAAAUAUUAAUAAAUAUAACCCAUAUAGACAAAAGCUCUUUUUGGUUCCUCCAUAAUUUUUGGUUCCUCCCUUUUUUUAGAAGGGGUCCUGAAAGCAAAAAGUUUUAGAAACACUGAUCUAGGGCAAUUUUGGGGAAGAUUAUUUUUUUCAGUUUCUGUUCAUUUUAAUGGAUGAAAGCUAGUAAUUACAGUGAUAUGUAUAGUCGUUACACACUUACAUUUGGGGAAUCCUAUUGCUGGUGUCAUGUUCUGGAUUGUGUUUGUUGUUCUGGCUGCCCCACAUUUGGACUGCAAGUCUUUUGGAUUCAGUGGUACGCAUUAGAGAACUUAAAUAGAUAAUCCGACCCCUGGAUGAGGGGAUGGCAAGCAGUGUCUUCACUUAACCUUGCAAUUUCUCUUUCUUUCUUAGUACAGACUUGCCAAGAUAUAAUUUACCAAUCAGUCUUGAGGGCUUCAGCAUAUGAGAUUCUUCAUAGGAAACACUCUAUGGGACCUGCUUUCUCCAAACAGAUGAAACCCUAUUCCUUGUAUAGAGUGCCACAAAAGAUAAUUCUAUUGCUCUUGGAGCCUUUUCUCAUGGCAUCUAAUUGUGGCACCAACAUGCUCCAACACCUCUUUUUUCUGCUGUAUCCUCAUGAUUUUACUUUCCUCUGAUCCCUAGACUUAAAGCAUCUCAACAACGUCUUUUCUUUGAAUGGUUGAAGAAAGACUUUUCCACAGCUAAAAAUAAAUACAGCUUUUAGGACAUCUUGGGCUGUUGUAACCUCUGUGCGCCAGAGUGUGCCUUGCUGCUGUCCACAGUGCAAGUUCAUUUGGUUGACUGUGUAGACCAGACUUUGAAGAAUGGAUUUCAGUGAGAUCCAGUCGGUACACUUCUGCAAACAAGGGGCCUAUGUCUACAACCACCAGCUCAAGAUAAAGGACACUGUAGACAAAAGGGGCUUAUUCAUGGAUGCAGCCCACUU